rnacentral:rRNA from 1 species
UGGGGAAUUUUGGACAAUGGGGGCAACCCUGAUCCAGCAAUGCCGCGUGUGUGAAGAAGGCCUUCGGGUUGUAAAGCACUUUUGUCAGGGAAGAAACGGUGAAGGCUAAUAUCCUUUGCUAAUGACGGUACCUGAAGAAUAAGGACCGGCUAACUACGUGCCAGCAGCCGCGGUAAUACGUAGGGUCCAAGCGUUAAUCGGAAUUACUGGGCGUAAAGCGUGCGCAGGCGGUUGUGUAAGUCAGAUGUGAAAUCCCCGGGCUUAACCUGGGAAUGGCAUUUGAGACUGCACGGCUAGAGUGUGUCAGAGGGGGGUAGAAUUCCACGUGUAGCAGUGAAAUGCGUAGAGAUGUGGAGGAAUACCGAUGGCGAAGGCAGCCCCCUGGGAUAACACUGACGCGCAUGCACGAAAGCGUGGGGAGCAAACA